UACGUAGGGUGCGAGCGUUGUCCGGAUUUAUUGGGCGUAAAGGGCUCGUAGGCGGCGUGUCGCGUCGGGUGUGAAAGCCCGGGGCUUAACCCCGGUUCUGCUUCCGGUACGGGCAUGCUGGAGUGUGGCAUGGGAGACUGGAAUUCCUGGUGUAGCGGUGGAAUGCGCAGAUAUCAGGAGGAACACCGGUGGCGAAGGCGGGUCUCUGGGCCGAUACUGACACUGAGGAGCGAAAGCGUGGGGAGCGAACAGG
rnacentral:rRNA from 1 species